GUGAAAAAUACAAGUGAAAGGAUGUACAAUCAACCUCAACAAAUACAAGGGCACAAGCCAAGAGACAUACACUUCAAGAGGCCAAAAAAAUCAAGUAAAACUACUAGAAAAAUGAUGUAAAAGGAAUCUAGUAAAGCAAGAAAAAUUGAUAUAGAAAAAUGGCAGGAAACUAAAGGAUUAAAAAAGACAAAACAACAAGGAAAAUGAAGGAAUAAAAGCAAAGUCAUACCUGAAAAAAUAUUGCAGCAAAAGAAUACAAACAAACAAGAGACAAUCACACCAAAAAUUUUAUGCAUACAUGAAGAGAAAGGUCUAAAAAUGAGUGGAAAUAAUUUGGCAUGCUUCAAAA
rnacentral:lncRNA from 1 species